GGGGAUUUAGCUCAGUGGUAGAGCGCUUGUCUAGCAAGCACAAGGCCCUGGGUUCAGUCCCCAGCUCCG
rfam:Rattus norvegicus chromosome 7, whole genome shotgun sequence.